GGUUAAGCGACUAAGCGUACACGGUGGAUGCCCUGGCAGUCAGAGGCGAUGAAGGGCGUGCUAAUCUGCGAUAAGCGCCGGUAAGGUGAUAUGAACCGUUAUAACCGGCGAUACCCGAAUGGGGAAACCCAGUGUGAUUCGUCACACUAUCAUUAACUGAAUCCAUAGGUUAAUGAGGCGAACCGGGGGAACUGAAACAUCUAAGUACCCCGAGGAAAAGAAAUCAACCGAGAUUCCCCCAGUAGCGGCGAGCGAACGGGGAGGAGCCCAGAGCCUGAAUCAGCAUGUGUGUUAGUGGAAGCGUCUGGAAAGGCGCGCGAUACAGGGUGACAGCCCCGUACACAAAAGCGCAUGUGCUGUGAGCUCGAUGAGUAGGGCGGGACACGUGGUAUCCUGUCUGAAUAUGGGGGGACCAUCCUCCAAGGCUAAAUACUCCUGACUGACCGAUAGUGAACCAGUACCGUGAGGGAAAGGCGAAAAGAACCCCGGCGAGGGGAGUGAAAAAGAACCUGAAACCGUGUACGUACAAGCAGUGGGAGCACAGGUUUACCUGUGUGACUGCGUACCUUUUGUAUAAUGGGUCAGCGACUUAUAUUCUGUAGCAAGGUUAACCGAAUAGGGGAGCCGGAGGGAAACCGAGUCUUAACCGGGCGUUAAGUUGCAGGGUAUAGACCCGAAACCCGGUGAUCUAGCCAUGGGCAGGUUGAAGGUUGGGUAACACUAACUGGAGGACCGAACCGACUAAUGUUGAAAAAUUAGCGGAUGACCUGUGGCUGGGGGUGAAAGGCCAAUCAAACCGGGAGAUAGCUGGUUCUCCCCGAAAGCUAUUUAGGUAGCGCCUCGUGAAUUCAUCUCCGGGGGUAGAGCACUGUUUCGGCUAGGGGGCCAUCCCGGCUUACCAACCCGAUGCAAACUGCGAAUACCGGAGAAUGUUAUCACGGGAGACACACGGCGGGUGCUAACGUCCGUCGUGAAGAGGGAAACAACCCAGACCGCCAGCUAAGGUCCCAAAGUCAUGGUUAAGUGGGAAACGAUGUGGGAAGGCCCAGACAGCCAGGAUGUUGGCUUAGAAGCAGCCAUCAUUUAAAGAAAGCGUAAUAGCUCACUGGUCGAGUCGGCCUGCGCGGAAGAUGUAACGGGGCUAAACCAUGCACCGAAGCUGCGGCAGCGAACGUAUCACUUAAAGCGAUUCAGCGGGUUACGAUUGACGGAGCGAAGCGACGUCAAAGCGUAUACAAAGUCGAGUCGGUUUAAGGAUACGUUCGUUGGGUAGGGGAGCGUUCUGUAAGCCUGCGAAGGUGGCCUGUGAGGGUUGCUGGAGGUAUCAGAAGUGCGAAUGCUGACAUAAGUAACGAUAAAGCGGGUGAAAAGCCCGCUCGCCGGAAGACCAAGGGUUCCUGUCCAACGUUAAUCGGGGCAGGGUGAGUCGACCCCUAAGGCGAGGCCGAAAGGCGUAGUCGAUGGGAAACGGGUUAAUAUUCCCGUACUUGGUGUUACUGCGAAGGGGGGACGGAGAAGGCUAUGUUGGCCGGGCGACGGUUGUCCCGGUUUAAGCGUGUAGGUGUGUGUUCCAGGUAAAUCCGGUUCACUUUAACACUGAGGCGUGAUGACGAGGCACUACGGUGCUGAAGUAACAAAUGCCCUGCUUCCAGGAAAAGCCUCUAAGCAUCAGGUAACAUCAAAUCGUACCCCAAACCGACACAGGUGGUCAGGUAGAGAAUACCAAGGCGCUUGAGAGAACUCGGGUGAAGGAACUAGGCAAAAUGGUGCCGUAACUUCGGGAGAAGGCACGCUGACACGUAGGUGAAGUGAUUUACUCACGGAGCUGAAGUCAGUCGAAGAUACCAGCUGGCUGCAACUGUUUAUUAAAAACACAGCACUGUGCAAACACGAAAGUGGACGUAUACGGUGUGACGCCUGCCCGGUGCCGGAAGGUUAAUUGAUGGGGUCAGCGCAAGCGAAGCUCCUGAUCGAAGCCCCGGUAAACGGCGGCCGUAACUAUAACGGUCCUAAGGUAGCGAAAUUCCUUGUCGGGUAAGUUCCGACCUGCACGAAUGGCGUAAUGAUGGCCAGGCUGUCUCCACCCGAGACUCAGUGAAAUUGAACUCGCUGUGAAGAUGCAGUGUACCCGCGGCAAGACGGAAAGACCCCGUGAACCUUUACUAUAGCUUGACACUGAACAUUGAGCCUUGAUGUGUAGGAUAGGUGGGAGGCUUUGAAGUGUGGACGCCAGUCUGCAUGGAGCCGACCUUGAAAUACCACCCUUUAAUGUUUGAUGUUCUAACGUGGACCCGUUACCCGGGUUGCGGACAGUGUCUGGUGGGUAGUUUGACUGGGGCGGUCUCCUCCUAAAGAGUAACGGAGGAGCACGAAGGUUGGCUAAUCCUGGUCGGACAUCAGGAGGUUAGUGCAAUGGCAUAAGCCAGCUUGACUGCGAGCGUGACGGCGCGAGCAGGUGCGAAAGCAGGUCAUAGUGAUCCGGUGGUUCUGAAUGGAAGGGCCAUCGCUCAACGGAUAAAAGGUACUCCGGGGAUAACAGGCUGAUACCGCCCAAGAGUUCAUAUCGACGGCGGUGUUUGGCACCUCGAUGUCGGCUCAUCACAUCCUGGGGCUGAAGCAGGUCCCAAGGGUAUGGCUGUUCGCCAUUUAAAGUGGUACGCGAGCUGGGUUUAGAACGUCGUGAGACAGUUCGGUCCCUAUCUGCCGUGGGCGCUGGAGAACUGAGGGGGGCUGCUCCUAGUACGAGAGGACCGGAGUGGACGCAUCACUGGUGUUCGGGUUGUCAUGCCAAUGGCA
rnacentral:rRNA from 1 species